rnacentral:rRNA from 1 species
UACGGGGGGAGCAAGCGUUGUUCGGAUUUACUGGGCGUAAAGCGCGCGUAGGCGGACCUGCAAGUCGGGGGUGAAAGCCCGAGGCUCAACCUCGGAACUGCCUUCGAUACUGCGGGUCUCGAGUCCGGGAGAGGUGAGUGGAAUUCCUAGUGUAGAGGUGAAAUUCGUAGAUAUUAGGAAGAACACCAGUGGCGAAGGCGGCUCACUGGCCCGGUACUGACGCUGAGGCGGCGAAAGCGUGGGGAGCAAACAGG